rnacentral:rRNA from 1 species
CCGCGGUAACACGUAGGGGGCAAGCGUUGUCCGGAUUUAUUGGGCGUAAAGAGCUCGUAGGCGGCUCGAUAAGUCGGGUGUCAAAUCCUCAGGCUCAACCUGGGGCACCACCCGAUACUGUCGUGGCUAGAGUCCGGUAGGGGAGCGUGGAAUUCCUGGUGUAGCGGUGAAAUGCGCAGAUAUCAGGAGGAACACCAGCGGCGAAGGCGGCGCUCUGGGCCGGAACUGACGCUGAGGAGCGAAAGCGUGGGUAGCAAACAGGAUUAGAUACCCUGGUAGUCCACGCCGUAAACGUUGGGCACUAGGUGUGGGGUCUUUUCAACGGAUUCCGUGCCGUCGCUAACGCAUUAAGUGCCCCGCCUGGGGAGUACGGCCGCAAGGCUAAAACUCAAAGGAAUUGACGGGGGCCCGCACAAGCAGCGGAGCAUGUUGCUUAAUUCGAGGCAACGCGAAGAACCUUACCUGGGUUUGACAUGUAGAGAAAAGCCACAGAGAUGUGGUGUCCUUCGGGGUUCUACACAGGUGGUGCAUGGUUGUCGUCAGCUCGUGUCGUGAGAUGUUGGGUUAAGUCCCGCAACGAGCGCAACCCUUGUCCUAUGUUGCCAGCGGAUAAUGCCGGGGACUCGUAGGAGACUGCCGGGGUCAACUCGGAGGAAGGUGGGGAUGACGUCAAAUCAUCAUGCCCCUUAUAUCCAGGGCUGCAAACAUGCUACAAUGGCCGGUACAAAGGGCUGCGAUACCGCGAGGUGGAGCGAAUCCCAUAAAGCCGGUCUCAGUUCGGAUUGGAGUCUGCAACUCGACUCCAUGAAGCUGGAGUUGCUAGUAAUCCCGGAUCAGCAACGCCG